rnacentral:rRNA from 1 species
AAGACCUUGCGCUUUUGGAGCGGCCGAUGUCUGAUUAGCUUGUUGGUGAGGUAAAAGCUUACCAAGGCUUCGAUCAGUAGCUGGUCUGAGAGGACGGCCAGCCACACUGGGACUGAGACACGGCCCAGACUCCUACGGGAGGCAGCAGUGGGGAAUUUUGGACAAUGGGGGCAACCCUGAUCCAGCCAUGCCGCGUGAGUGAAGAAGGCCUUCGGGUUGUAAAGCUCUUUCAGCCGGAACGAAACGGUUACGGUUAAUACCCGUGAUUACUGACGGUACCGGAAGAAGAAGCACCGGCUAACUACGUGCCAGCAGCCGCGGUAAUACGUAGGGUGCGAGCGUUAAUCGGAAUUACUGGGCGUAAAGCGUGCGCAGGUGGUUUUGUAAGUCAGAUGUGAAAGCCCCGGGCUCAACCUGGGAACU